UACGUAGGGGGCUAGCGUUGUUCGGAAUCAUUGGGCGUAAAGAGCGUGUAGGCGGUCCGGUAAGUCGGCUGUGAAAGUCCAGGGCUCAACCCUGGGAUGCCGGUCGAUACUGCCGGACUAGAGUUCGGAAGAGGCGAGUGGAAUUCCCGGUGUAGCGGUGAAAUGCGCAGAUAUCGGGAGGAACACCUAUGGCGAAGGCAGCUCGCUGGGACGUUACUGACGCUGAGACGCGAAAGCGUGGGGAGCAAACAGG
rnacentral:rRNA from 1 species